UACGGAGGGUGCAAGCGUUAGUCGGAAUUACUGGGCGUAAAGGGUGCGUAGGCGGGAAUAUAAGUCAGAUGUGAAAUACUGAAGCUCAACUUCAGCUGUGCAUCUGAAACUGUAUUUCUAGAGGAAAGACGGAGAAAACGGAAUUCCACGUGUAGCGGUGAAAUGCGUAGAUAUGUGGAAGAACACCAGUGGCGAAGGCGGUUUUCUAGUUUCGUCCUGACGCUGAGGCACGAAAGCAAGGGGAGCAAAC
rnacentral:rRNA from 1 species